UUCAAAAGAGGAUCUGCUCCUAGUACGAGAGGACCAGAGUGGACGAACCUCUGGUGUACCGGUUGUGACGCCAGUCGCAUCGCCGGGUAGCUAUGUUCGGAAGGGAUAACCGCUGAAAGCAUCUAAGCGGGAA
rnacentral:rRNA from 1 species